AUUGAACGCUGGCGGCAGGCCUAACACAUGCAAGUCGAGCGGAUGAAGGGAGCUUGCUCCUGGAUUCAGCGGCGGACGGGUGAGUAAUGCCUAGGAAUCUGCCUGGUAGUGGGGGAUAACGUCCGGAAACGGGCGCUAAUACCGCAUACGUCCUGAGGGAGAAAGUGGGGGAUCUUCGGACCUCACGCUAUCAGAUGAGCCUAGGUCGGAUUAGCUAGUUGGUGGGGUAAAGGCCUACCAAGGCGACGAUCCGUAACUGGUCUGAGAGGAUGAUCAGUCACACUGGAACUGAGACACGGUCCCGACUCCUACGGGAGGCAGCAGUGGGGAAUAUUGGACAAUGGGCGAAAGCCUGAUCCAGCCAUGCCGCGUGUGUGAAGAAGGUCUUCGGAUUGGAAAGCACUUUAAGUUGGGAGGAAGGGCAGUAAGUUAAUACCUUGCUGUUUUGACGGUACCAACAGAAUAAGCACCGGCUAACUUCGUG
rnacentral:rRNA from 1 species